GAACUCACUUUGUAGACCAGACUGGCCUCAAACUCACAAAGAUCUGUCUUCAGGGCGAGUCUCCUACCACUGCUCUCUGUAUCCUCCAAGUUCAACAAGACUGUUGCUGACCUUGCAAUUUCCCCAAAAGCAGGAAACUUGACAGAUAAUGUGUGGUAGCAGGGGACUGUGUUCACACUCUCGCCUC
rnacentral:snRNA from 1 species